rnacentral:rRNA from 1 species
UACGGAGGAUCCGAGCGUUAUCCGGAUUUAUUGGGUUUAAAGGGUGCGUAGGCGGCCUAUUAAGUCAGGGGUGAAAGACGGUAGCUUAACUAUCGCAGUGCCUUUGAUACUGAGUGGCUUGAAUGAACUAGAGGUAGGCGGAAUGAGACAAGUGGCGGUGAAAUGCAUAGAUAUGUCUCAGAACACCGAUUGCGAAGGCAGCUUACUAUGGUUUAAUUGACGCUGAGGCACGAAAGCGUGGGGAUCAAACAGG